rnacentral:rRNA from 1 species
GAUGAACGCUGGCGGCGUGCCUAAUACAUGCAAGUCGAGCGAACAGACGAGGAGCUUGCUCCUCUGAUGUUAGCGGCGGACGGGUGAGUAACACGUGGAUAACCUACCUAUAAGACUGGGAUAACUUCGGGAAACCGUAGCUAAUACCGGAUAAUAUAUUGAACCGCAUGGUUCAAUAGUGAAAGACGGUUUUGCUGUCACUUAUAGAUGGAUCCGCGCUGCAUUAGCUAGUUGGUAAGGUAACGGCUUACCAAGGCAACGAUGCGUAGCCGACCUGAGAGGGUGAUCGGACACACUGGAACUGAGACACGGUCCAGACUCCUACGGGAGGCAGCAGUAGGGAAUCUUCCGCAAUGGGCGAAAGCCUGACGGAGCAACGCCGCGUGAGUGAUGAAGGUCUUCGGAUCGUAAAACUCUGUUAUUAGGGAAGAACAAAUGUGUAAGUAACUAUGCACGUCUUGACGGUACCUAAUCAGAAAGCCACGGCUAACUACGUG